rnacentral:lncRNA from 1 species
CCUGAGAACGAAGCCCCAUUGGCAGAGCAGGAAGAAGGCAGGAACCUGGUCUCCCGAAGACAUGGUUGAUGCCUGAAUCCCCGGAUCCUGGGGCUCAUCGCUUACUGUUCAACCUGGUCGGAGUUUGGUUUGUUGACCUCGGAGGCAGCUUAACGUAGGUAAUUAUCUCCCCAAGUCCAGCCAUCUCCUCUGACGAGUUUUAUCAGUGUCCUUGAGAAUUCUUCACAUCGAGCUUUUAUAAAGAUUAAAAAUUCCUUAUUUUACUUUGGUGCAUUGCCCCUUAAUGGGCACAGUAGGCCCACUAAUUACAGGAUACCUGAUGAGCGGUGUGGACUUCUCAGUGGUCUGGAGCGGGAGGUCUCAGGGAUGGGUUGGUGACGUGAUUUUCCGAAGGGUCUGGGCUCUCUCUACCCUUCUGCAUAGCUGUCCUCAGCUGGUUAGCUUUUUAUCCAUGGAUUUGUAGCUUCAUGACUGCAGAAUGCUUUCCACAGCUCCACAUGUCUUUACAUGCUGAAGCAAAAGGCAGAUAGGGAGUAAGUUUUAGGAUGCACAUUUUUUUUUGAGCUUAUUGGUAUGUUUUAGGGAUACAGUACAGUUACAGUCAUCAUUGGGUUCUUGUACUUUUACAUGACAGGUCUUGGUUCUCAUUUUUUCCUCACACCCCUGCCCACCCUUCACCCCCUCCACCCUUCCCUAUUAAAAAGACUUUGUUUCCAUAUUUUGUUCUUUUCCCUUAUUACCUUUCCCCCACCCUUCCCACUUCCCCUACACCUUUAGCCCUUUUCUCCCUAUUUCACAUUGCCAAUUAUACCAUUUGGAUCUUAUUUACCCUUUUAGUUUUUCACACCAGAGAAACCAUUACGUAUAUCACUUAAGCUUAUGGCCUCAAUGCAGGGUGCACCUGUUUUUGUUUGUUUCCUCAGGGACGGAAAAUACUUUCCAGAAUUUCUUCCUCACACCCUUCUCUGCCCCAGAACUUCCCUUCUGUCUUAUUGGCCAGCCCGGUGCCACACUGGCAAAUGUGGCUCAGCAAGUCUGGAAAAGAGGAUGAGGCUGCCACAGAUUCCUCACCAGGAGCAGGAUGGAGAAGGGAAGAAAUUUUACCCAAAAUUACAUCAGCUUACCUGAGCACCUGUCUCCUUUACCUUGCUGUGCUGCCUCAUGUUCUGCUGUUCUUUUCCUGAUAAAGGCUUGAACUUCUUCCCACCUUCUCUCAGCUUCCUGGAGUUGAACCUUGAUAUUUAAAAAGGACACAAGGAAAAAUCAGCACAAACAAAAAAUUCUCUACUUUGAAAAAAGCAUCCUCUACCUGUAGUGUUGUAUCUUAAAAGUGCUUAAUGCAACUGGUCUCCAAAUUUCAAGACAGACAAAUACAGUGUCCGACUGCCAUUUAAGCCAUCCUGACCUCCAAAAGAUUAACGGAGAGAUGAUUUCAGAAAGGCAAUAUUGGUACUGUUCAUUCAAGAUAGCUACUACGUGUCAGGCCUGAUCUGGCCACGACCUGGUUAAUGAAUAUGUUGUUUCAUUCAAAGCUACAGUUUUAGCAGAUUCAAAAAGCCGCAGCCCUUGGCAAAAACACACCACUCCUUCGGGUGGCUGGAGACCAGAUAUAAGCCCUGUCAUCUCUGCCUAGUGCUUUCUCCAGGCAGACAGAACACAGAAUGGGAUGUGACAGAAAAGAGGUAAGACUACAAAGUACAGCACCAUUCACCUGAUAACAUCUACACAUCGGCCUUGACUGCUGCAUUGUAGAAAACUUCAAAGAAGGUCUCAAGUCUUUUAAGCCCCUUUAUCAUUUCACAGUCACAGUCUCAAGGUAUGACUGUGUCCACGAUCUACGUGGGAACGUCUACUUUAGUGAGGUUGUGCUCAAGCUUCACUAACCUGCAUCUCCAACCAAUUCCCUCCUCAACAAAGGGAGUGUCUUACUCAUUUUUUUCAUUGCUGACAAAAUAUCCAACACAAAACUUAAAGGAGGAGAGUUCAUUCUACCGAACCUUAGUUUAUGCUUCGCUAGCUCCAAUGAGGAAAGAGCACGGCAGACGGGCGUGAUGGAAGAAAAGCCGCUCACCUCAUGGUGGAAAGGAAGCAGAAAGUGAAGGGAGGAGCCAGGAGAGGAGAUAACACCCUUCCACACCAUGCCCCAGGACCUGCCUCUUCCAACCAGACUUCACUUCCCAACAGGAAGUCAGCUAAAGAGGCCCCAUAAUUUAAACACCUUCCAAAGUCUUGCCUGUGGGAACAUGAGGCUCUUGAGGGGCAUCUAGAUAUCAACCACAAGGAAGAGCAGUCAGCUCUCCUCAUUCCACUCAAUUGGCGUACAAGCCACGUGAGUGCAUCCAGAGCACAAACAAGAUGAGAAAUGAAUCUGCUCCCCCUUCUGUCAGUCUGAGCCACCCUAUGUAUCUCUUUACAGUAUGACUAUUUCACAGUAACAAGAGCUACUCUGGUAUCUGAAGACAAAGUAUGUGAUUUUUGUGCACCAUGACCUGAGUGCAAGCGACCGGGGCAAUACUUAAAUCUUACACUCAAGCAAAGGAAAACCCAUCUGUUUCAGUGCUAGAAGAAAACAGGUUCUACUGGGCUUACUGAGAAAUUCAAUUUAAUGAUGAUAAAACACUGCAGGCAGCUAAGUUAGUUAGAAAUACUGUAGACACUCAGACAGGGCUGGCCCUCACAGAAGUCGAUGCAGAAAUAAGAACACUUUGCACAACUGUACAUUCUUGGAAGGCCAGACUUCAGAGCAAAGGGAAUCUACUAUAUCUACAUACUAUCGCUAGGGAUGAACAGAAGUGACUGAUAUUCCAAACAGGCAUCAAUCACCUUGCAUGGGGAACCAAAAUCUCCCUAGCCCACUCCCCUUCCUGGAGGUAUCCUUAUCUGUUCCACGUAUCCUUCCUCUGUGACAUGCUUCCCCAUUUGAUCCCUCUGUAAUCAGUAACACCUAGGGAUUAUACUUGGAAUCUUAAUGGCUGACCAUAAUUUUGUCCCACCUCACCUCAUGUUCGCCUCUCCUUGUGGUUUUGCUCUGUAAAACUCCCUCAAGAAGUGAGGCUCGCGGGCAACCCACUUUAUAAGUCCCCUCCUUUUUCUCUUAAAGAGAAGCUAUCUUUCUCUCAAUAAAUUCUUUUUCCUCUUAACCUCCGUUGUUCCUAGAAUUCAUUCUUUAAUUGCAGAGAACAAGAAAUUGGCACGUUGGCUGUCUAUUGUGGUGGGGGUUACAAUAGCGCCUUUGUAUCAUUUGGAGGUCCAUAUAUCACGUGGCCUGUAUCAAAAUGUAACUAAAAGUAAUUUUAGCUACAUGAUUUUUGCCUGGUACAUGGGCCCUAACCUCCAUAUAUAAAAUGAAAUUCUACCACUUACACUGGUCAGUCAGCUAAUUUCAUUUUUUUCAUAACUCCAGUCUUUAACGUCAAAUUCAAGCCUAUAUUCAAUUAUUUUAUUAAGUUACACCUUGCUAUACAGGCAGAGCGAGGGUGCUUAAUAAGCCUCAAACUAUAUUUCUCUAAUUUAUAUACAUCCUUAGGCCACAAAUUAAAUAUCUACAUUACUCACAAAGUGAUACAUGAAAGUGGGGUGUAUUGUUAGGAAAUUGUACAUGUUACUUUAAACUCCUCCAUUUUAUACCUGACUUCCGGGUUCUUCCCAACUUAAGUUUCGUUUUCCUCCCCGAGUUGAAUUCUUCCCAGAAAUGACGCCAACAUCUGAUAAAGGACUUCUGCAGGACUAAGACCUUAUAAGGCAAUGUGGCCUGCAAUAGGUUAAAAAACAGCUUAUUCCCCCUAAUUGCAAAACUCCCACCCAAGACCCUAUAAAUGAGCCAACACUCCUUCCCUUGGGACCCACCUCCCUUUCUUUGCCUCCCGGCCUUUGUGCCUCGCCUGAUUCCCUACAAUAAAGAUCUCCUGCCAGACCUCUCCCUGCGUGAGUGACCUGAUUGGGAGGGGGCGCCCGAAGGGGCACGUGCGACCCCUUUCAUGUAUCACCUUCAAAUGAGUAGCUGCCUACUCAGCACUCUUCUGUUUGUUUGUUUGUUUGUUUGAGACAGGAUCUCACUAUGAAGUUGAGACUGACCUGGAACUCACUACUGUAGCCCAGGCUGGUCUUGAACUCACAGUGAUCCUCCUGCCUCAGCCUCCCAAGUGCUGGGAUUAUAGGCAUGCGCCACCAUGCCUGGCUCAGCACUCUUCUUUUGGACUUCCUCCUGUUGGAGCUGCCCUGUUUUUUCAGUCAGCUCAUGCACCAGCCUAGCAUAAUCCUGGUGCAGUUUACUUAGUCCUGCAGACUGCCUGAAAAACACUAACUGGAUUACGAACCAUCCAUCACUACAAACACAUAUAAAGAGCAAAUAUAAUACAUUUUAUUAAUUUUGCUGAGCUAGUAAUUCCAUUGAAUACAAACAAAUGCUUCUUUGGUGGAGUAUAAUUCCCAAGUAAUGCUAAUGACAAUGACACAAAUUCUAAAUCUGUUAUAAAAUAUCAAGAAAAAUGGAUAACCACAAACUUGUGAGCAUAAAUAUACAGUGUCACCCUCAAGAUGAUCUUUUGGAAAUCUAUUAAAAUCAACCAGCCAGAAUUCUUACUCUGUGCAAGGACAGUACUAGUCUCUAGGGUACUAGUCCUCAAAGAAUGGCCUCAAAACCAACCAUGCCUGGGGGCCGGGGAUUUAGCUCAGUAGUGCCAGAUGCCUCCCGGAGGACCCAAAUUCAUCCCUACCCCACCCCCAACCCCACCAAAAAGCAAAAACAAAAAACACCAACCACAGCUAUUCAGAGGAAUGGGUCUCCAUUCAGAUUCCUGAGCUCCACCUUAGGUCAGGGAUCGUAAACAUUUUAGGAAACAGGACUUAAGGAUAUCUUUUAAAUUAGCACUCCAGGUGCUAC